UCCAAGCGUUAUCCGGAAUCAUUGGGUUUAAAGGGUCCGUAGGCGGUCUUAUAAGUCAGUGGUGAAAUCUCCCCGCUCAACGGGGAAACGGCCAUUGAUACUGUAGGACUUGAAUUAUAAGGAAGUAACUAGAAUAUGUAGUGUAGCGGUGAAAUACUUAGAGAUUACAUGGAAUACCAAUUGCGAAGGCAGGUUACUACUUAUGGAUUGACGCUGAUGGACGAAAGCGUGGGUAGCGAACAGGAUUAGAUACCCUGGUAGUCCACGCCGUAAACGAUGGAUACUAGCUGUUGGGGGCAACUUCAGUGGCUAAGCGAAAGUGAUAAGUAUCCCACCUGGGGAGUACGUUCGCAAGAAUGAAACUCAAAGGAAUUGACGGGGGCCCGCACAAGCGGUGGAGCAUGUGGUUUAAUUCGAUGAUACGCGAGGAACCUUACCAAGGCUUAAAUGUAGAUUGACCGGUUUGGAAACAGACUUUUCGCAAGACAAUUUACAAGGUGCUGCAUGGUUGUCGUCAGCUCGUGCCGUGAGGUGUCAGGUUAAGUCCUAUAACGAGCGCAACCCCU
rnacentral:rRNA from 1 species